ACAAAAUCAGUACAUGCACAGCAAAAAAAAAAAAAAAAAAACAAUAAGCAAAGGAACAGCACUUUUAUUGUUGUUCUUCAUCUAAAAGUCAAAAUUAGGUCUAGUCUCUGUAUUUCCUACAAUAAAGUCUGCUUCCUCUUUUAUCCUACUUAAGGCAAUAAAGGUCUUGCACCUCUUUAUCCUCAAAGAAGUUCUAGUCACUCUACUUUCUGCAAUGGGUUCUUAUCCCUCUAAAGUCUAGUUUAUGUCUAGUUUUGAUUCUCUGUAAUGGUCUAGUCUUUGUAUUUUCUAAAAUAUGGGUAAAUCCUUCUACAUCCCACAAUAGCACUGUUCCCUUUUCUUCUACAAUAAGUUUAAAUAAAAGAAGGUGUUGGGUAAAUGUUAGCGUGACAGAAACUGAACAUCACAAGUCUAUGCCCUCUAUAUCAUGGGUUUUUCCUACAAUAGGGUCAUGACUUUCAAUGGCAUGUAUAAUUCAUUUUUCUUCCCUUUAAGAACCCACCUAGCAGAAACCUACCACAGGCACAAUUCAAGCAGAAACCUACCACAAGCACAAUUCAAUCAUUAAAAACAUUCUACUGUCAGGACAACAGGGGUGAAUAGGCAGGUUAGGUUUUAUACUAUAAAUUCAGGAGAACAGGGGUGAAUAGGCAGGUGAGGUUGUAUACUAUAAAUUCAGGAAAACAGGGGUGAAUGGGCAGGUUAGGUUUUAUACAGAGGUGAUUGGGCAAGUUAGGUUUUAUACAGGGGUGAAUGGGCAGUUUAUGUUUUAUACUGUUCAGGAAAACAGGGGUGAAUGGGCAGGUUAGGUUUUAUACAGGGGUGAAUGGGCAGUUUAAGUUUUAUACUGUUCAGGAAAACAGGGGUGAAUGGGCAAGUUAGGUUUUAUGCAGGGGUGAAUGGGCAGGUUAGGUUUUAUACAGGGGUGAAUGGGCAGGUUAGGUUUUAUACAGGGGUGAAUGGGCAGUUUAAGUUUUAUACUGUUCAGGAAAACAGGGGUGAAUGGGCAGGUUAGGUUUUAUACUAUAAAUUCAGGAAAACAGGGGUGAAUAGGCAGGUUAAGUUUUAUACUAUAAAUUCAGGAAAACAAGGGUGAAUGAGCAGGUUAGGUUUUAUACUAUAAAUCCAGGAAAACAGGGGUGAAUGGGCAGGUUAGGUUUUAUACUAUAAAUUCAGGAAAACAAAGGUGAAAGGGCAGGUUAGGUUUUAUACUAUAAAUUCAGGAAAACAUGGGUGAAUGGGCAGGUUAGGUUUUAUACUAUAAAUUCAGGAAAACAGGGGUGAAUGGGCAGGUAAGGUUUUAUACUAUAAAUUCAGGAAAACAGGGGUGAAUGGGCAGGUUAGGUUUUAUACUAUAAAUUCAGGAAAACAGGGGUGAAUGGGCAGGUUAGGUUUUAUACAGGGGUAAAUGGGCAGUUUAAGUUUUAUACUAUUCAGGAAAACAGGGGUGAAUGGGCAGGUUAGGUUUUAUACAGGGGUGAAUGGGCAGGUUAGGUAUUAUACAGGGGAGAAUCCGCAGGUUAGGUUUUAUACAGGGGAGAAUCGGCAGGUUAGGUUUUAUACAGGGGUGAAUGGGCAGGUUAGGUUUUAUACAGGGGUGAAUGGGCAGGUUAGGUAUUAUACAGGGGUGAAUGGGCAGGUUAGGUAUUAUACAGGGGAGAAUGGGCAGGUUAGGUUUUAUACAGGGGUGAAUGGGCAGGUGAGGUUUUAUACUAUAAAUUCAGGAAAACAGGGGUGAAUAGGCAGGUUAGUUUUUAAAUACUAUCAAUUCAGGAAAACAGAGGUGAAUGGGCAGGUUAGGUUUUAUACUAUAAAUUCAGGAAAACAGGGGUGAAUGGGCAGGUUAGGUUUUAUACAGGGGUGAAUGGGCAGUUUAAGUUUUAUACUGUUCAGGAAAACAGGGGUGAAUGGGCAGGUUAGGUUUUAUACAGGGGUGAAUGGGCAUUUUAAGUUUUAUACUGUUCAGGAAAACAGGGGUGAAUGGGCAGGUUAGGUUUUAUACAGGAGUGAAUGGGCAUGUUAGGUUUUAUACUAUAAAUUCAGGAAAACAGGGGUGAAUGGGCAGGUAAGGUUUAAUACUACAAAUUCAGGAAAACAGGGGUGAAUAGGCAGGUUGGGUUUUAUACUAUAAAUUCAGGAAAACAGGGGUGAAUGGGCAGGUUAGGUUUUAUACUAUAAAUUCAGGAAAAUAGGGGUGAUUGGGCAAGUUAGGUUUUAUACAGGGGUGAAUGGGCAGUUUAUGUUUUAUACUGUUCAGGAAAACAGGGGUGAAUGGGCAGGUUAGGUUUUAUACAGGGGUGAAUGGGCAGUUUAAGUUUUAUACUGUUCAGGAAAACAGAGGUGAAUGGGCAAGUUAGGUUUUAUACAGGGGUGAAUGGGCAGGUUAGGUUUUAUACAGGGGUGAAUGGGCAGGUUAGGUUUUAUACAGGGGUGAAUGGGCAGGUUAGGUUUUUUACUAUAAAUUCAGGAAAACAGGGGUGAAUAGGCUGUUUAGGUUUUAUACUAUAAAUUCAGGAAAACAGAGGUGAAUGGGCAGGUUAGGUUUUAUACUAUAAAUUCAGGAAAACAGGGGUGAAUGGGCAGGUUAGGUUUUAUACAGGGGUGAAUGGGCAGUUUAAGUUUUAUACUGUUCAGGAAAACAGGGGUGAAUGGGCAGGUUAGGUUUUAUACAGGGGUGAAUGGGCAGUUUAAGUUUUAUACUGUUCAGGAAAACAGGGGUGAAUGGGCAGGUUAGGUUUUAUACAGGGGUGAAUGGGCAGGUUAGGUUUUAUACUAUAAAUUCAGGAAAACAGGGGUGAAUGGGCAAGUAAGGUUUUAUACUAUAAAUUCAGGAAAACAGGGGUGAAUAGGCAGGUUGGGUUUUAUACUAUAAAUUCAGGAAAACAGGGGUGAAUGGGCAGGUUAGGUUUUAUACAGGGGUGAAUGGGCAGUUUAAGUUUUAUACUGUUCAGGAAAACAGGGGUGAAUGGGCAGGUUAGGUUUUAUACUAUAAAUUCAGGAAAACAGGGGUGAAUGGACAGGUUAGGUUUUAUACAGGGGUGAAUGGGCAGUUUAAGUUUUAUACUGUUCAGGAAAACAGGGGUGAAUGGGCAGGUUAGGUUUUAUACAGGGGUGAAUGGGCAGUUUAAGUUUUAUACUGUUCAUGAAAACAGAGGUGAAUGGGCAAGUUAGGUUUUAUACAGGGGUGAAUGGGCAGGUUAGGUUUUAUACAGGGGUGAAUGGACAGGUAAGGUUUUAUACAGGGGUGAAUGGGCAGGUUAGGUUUUUUACUUUAAAUUCAGGAAAACAGGGGUGAAUAGGCAGGUUAGGUUUUAUACUAUAAAUUCAGGAAAACAGAGGUGAAUGGGCAGGUUAGGUUUUAUACUAUAAAUUCAGGAAAACAGGGGUGAAUAGGCAGGUUAGGUUUUAUACUAUAAAUUCAGGAAAACAGAGGUGAAUGGGCAGGUUAGGUUUUAUACUAUAAAUUCAGGAAAACAGGGGUGAAUAGGCAGGUUAGGUUUUAUACUAUAAAUUCAGGAAAACAGGGGUGAAUACGCAGGUUGGGUUUUAUACUAUAAAUUCAGGAAAAUAGGGGUGAUUGGGCAAGUUAGGUUUUAUACAGGGGUGAAUGGGCAGUUUAUGUUUUAUACUGUUCAGGAAAACAGGGGUGAAUGGGCAGGUUAGGUUUUAUACAGGGGUGAAUGGGCAGUUUAAGUUUUAUACUGUUCAGGAAAACAGAGGUGAAUGGGCAAGUUAGGUUUUAUACAGGGGUGAAUGGGCAGGUUAGGUUUUAUACAGGGGUGAAUGGGCAGGUUAGGUUUUAUACAGGGGUGAAUGGGCAGGUUAGGUUUUUUACUAUAAAUUCAGGAAAACAGGGGUGAAUAGGCUGUUUAGGUUUUAUACUAUAAAUUCAGGAAAACAGAGGUGAAUGGGCAGGUUAGGUUUUAUACUAUAAAUUCAGGAAAACAGGGGUGAAUGGGCAGGUUAGGUUUUAUACAGGGGUGAAUGGGCAGUUUAAGUUUUAUACUGUUCAGGAAAACAGGGGUGAAUGGGCAGGUUAGGUUUUAUACAGGGGUGAAUGGGCAGUUUAAGUUUUAUACUGUUCAGGAAAACAGGGGUGAAUGGGCAGGUUAGGUUUUAUACAGGGGUGAAUGGGCAGGUUACGUUUUUUACUAUAAAUUCAGGAAAACAGGGGUGAAUAGGCUGUUUAGGUUUUAUACUAUAAAUUCAGGAAAACAGAGGUGAAUGGGCAGGUUAGGUUUUAUACUAUAAAUUCAGGAAAACAGGGGUGAAUGGGCAGGUUAGGUUUUAUACAGGAGUGAAUGGGCAGGUUAGGUUUUAUACUAUAAAUUCAGGAAAACAGGGGUGAAUGGGCAGGUUAGGUUUUAUACAGGGGUGAAUGGGCAGUUUAAGUUUUAUACUGUUCAGGAAAACAGGGGUGAAUGGGCAGGUUAGGUUUUAUACAGGGGUGAAUGGGCAGUUUAAGUUUUAUACUGUUCAGGAAAACAGGGGUGAAUGGGCAGGUUAGGUUUUAUACAGGGGUGAAUGGGCAGGUUAGGUUUUAUACAGGGGUGAAUGGGCAGGUUAGGUUUUAUACUAUAUAUUCAGGAAAACAGGGGUGAAUAGGCAGGUUAGGUUUUAUACUAUAAAUUCAGGAAAACAGAGGUGAAUGGGCAGGUUAGGUUUUAUACUAUAAAUUCAGGAAAACAGGGGUGAAUGGGCAGGUUAGGUUUUAUACAGGGGUGAAUGGGCAGUUUAAGUUUUAUACUGUUCAGGAAAACAGGGGUGAAUGGGCAGGUAAGGUUUUAUACUAUAUAUUCAGGAAAACAGGGGUGAAUAGGCAGGUUGGGUUUUAUACUAUAAAUUCAGGAAAACAGGGGUGAAUGGGCAGGUUAGGUUUUAUACAGGGGUGAAUGGGCAGUUUAAGUUUUAUACUGUUCAGGAAAACAGGGGUGAAUGGGCAGGUUAGGUUUUAUACUAUAAAUUCAGGAAAACAAAGGUGAAUGGGCAGGUUAGGUUUUUUACUUUAAAUUCAGGAAAACAGGGGUGAAUAGGCAGGUUAGGUUUUAUACUAUAAAUUCAGGAAAACAGGGGUGAAUAGGCAGGUUAGGUUUUAUACUAUAAAUUCAGGAAAACAGGGGUGAAUGGGCAGGUUAGGUUUUAUACUAUAAAUUCAGGAAAACAGGGGUGAAUGGGCAGGUUAGGUUUUAUACAGGGGUGAAUGGGCAGGUUAGGUUUUAUACUAUAAAUUCAGGAAAACAGGGGUGAAUAGGCAGGUUAGGUUUUAUACUAUAAAUUCAGGAAAACAGGGGUGAAUGGGCAGGUUAGGUUUUAUACUAUAAAUUCAGGAAAACAGGGGUGAAUAGGCAGGUUAGGUUUUAUACUAUAAAUUCAGGAAAACAGGGGUGAAUAGGCAGGUUAGGUUUUAUACUAUAAAUUCAGGAAAACAGGGUGAAUAGGCAGGUUAGGUUUUAUACUAUAUAUUCAUGAAAACAGGGGUGAAUGGGCAGGUUAAGUUUUAUACUACAAAUUCAUGAAAACAGAGGUGA